UAUUAGUGGCGAACGGGUGAGUAACACGUGAGUAACCUGCCCCUUACUUUCCUGGAUAACUGCUCGAAAGGGUAGCUAAUACGGGAUAUUCUGACCAGCCCGCAUGGGUUGGUUUGGAAAGGUUGUUUUUCUGGUAAGGGAUGGGCUCGCGGCCUAUCAGCUUGUUGGUGGGGUGAUGGCCUACCAAGGCUUUGACGGGUAGCCGGCCUGAGAGGGUGGACGGUCACACUGGGACUGAGAUACGGCCCAG
rnacentral:rRNA from 1 species